UCCGGUUUGUCACCGGCAGUCACGCCAGAGUGCCCGGCUUUACCCGUUGGCAACUGGCAUCGAGGGUUGCGCUCGUUGCGGGACUUAACCCAACAUCUCACGACACGAGCUGACGACAGCCAUGCACCACCUGUCUCCUGGUUCCUUGCGGCACCCCUCCCUUUCAGGAGGGUUCCAGGGAUGUCAAGCCUUGGUAAGGUUCUUCGCGUUGCAUCGAAUUAAACCACAUGCUCCACCGCUUGUGCGGGCCCCCGUCAAUUCCUUUGAGUUUCAGUCUUGCGACCGUACUCCCCAGGCGGGAUACUUAACGCGUUAGCUACGGCACUGGGGGAGUCGAUACCCCCAACACCUAGUAUCCAUCGUUUACGGCUCGGACUAC
rnacentral:misc_RNA from 1 species